GUCCAGCAGUCCGUACACGGUGUGAUGAUAAAACUUCCAUGAAUGCAUCAGCUACAACUACUUGGAUGCGAUCGUUGUUGUGAUAAAGCUGCAGUGGUGGUGUAGGUUAUUCUUUGAGGUCUCCUAAUCUUCUACAACCUCGGCAGUGGUGGCUGCCUCUUCUUGGUUCAGGUUGAGGGAACUUGGUAAGCUCAAGGGACACGUGGAAGUUGGUUUGUCAACUAGAAGGCGCUCGACAUCGAGACCGUCCAGCAGUCUGUACACGGUGGGAUGAUAUGGGCUUACAUGACUGCCUCCUCAGCUACAACUACUUGGGUUUAGUCAUUUGCUAUGGGUUAAUGAUGAUGGUGAUUCUUGCAAAUGAUGUGCAAGGCAAAUUUCCAGAGUUGGAUGAAGAACUGUCAUACUGGAAGUUACUUGGUUGCUUCUAGUUGCUAUUGUCUAGUAGAUGAUAACUGAUUUACUAUGAUUUCUUAAGCUAUCUCUAGUGUUGUGCAUAAGUGUUAAGAGUGUAAAGUUUCACCAUGUUUUCCCAGGUAAUUUAGCUUAUUCUCUGAGGUAGCCUAAUCUUCUACAACCUCGGCAGUGGUGGCCACCUCUUCUUGGUUCAGAAACUGGUUGCCCAAAGCUAUUUCUUACUCGUUGACGUACUGAGAUAAACAUUGGUGGAUUCUAGGUGCACGCUCGUGUCUCAGACUCCACAGGGCACCAAGGAAAUUUAGGUUAUUCUUUGAGGUCUAAUCUUCUACAACCUCGGCAGUGGUGGCUGCCUCUUCUUGGUUCAGGUUGGCCCUGCCAACGCACGGGCGAGCCAAAAAAUUGGCAUUGCUUUUCUGCGCCUGUGUCUUGCCGUCGCGUUGGCAAGAAAUUGAACCGGAGACCCGAGGGCAGCAUUGACAACGCAUGGGCUUUGAUCCAAACACCGCUGGGGCAGUUGGUCAACGCCAAUUAUUUGGCUUGGCAGGCUGGGGCUUCGAACCAAACUGGCUCAUAGUGACUAUUCAUCAUGGUUAUACUACUGUUGGAGGUGUGAUUCUACGGAUAUGCUUCUUGGCAAUGAGAUUAUAGCUACGGGGAGAAAAAAAAAGGUGGAAGUCGCAGGCUAAGGGAAGGGAAAGGUGAUACUCCACAUGGGAUCGAUACCAGGCUGAUGGGCUCGAUCUCAGCUGGGCAGUCGAGGAAAAAAGGAGGUGAAAUUAAGGCCCAAGUUUUGUUUGCCACAAGACUUGUUCCUUCAAGGGGCCAGGCCAUAUUUAUCUUGCUGCCGCGGACACAUGUUUUUUUUUUAUGGUUGGUUUAUGACGAUUCACAACAAAAGUUGGCAUGCAGGCAGGUUGUAUGAUUAAGUUUGUGUGGUCUGCACUUUGGGUUGUUGUUGAUGUGUUUGUGAAACAUAGAUAUAUAUGCAAUCAAAGUGGGUGUAUGUCAA